rnacentral:rRNA from 1 species
UUCCCGGUUGAUCCUGCCGGACCUCCCUUGCUAUCCGAGUGGGAUUAAGCCAUGCGAGUUGAACGUCUUCUAACUGUGGAAGGCGUGGCAAACGGCUCAGUAACACGUAGCUAACCUGCCUUAAAGACGAAUAUAACCCCGGGAAACUGGGACUAAUACUCGAUAGAUCAUGACACCUGGAAUGGGUUGUGAUCCAAAGGAGUAGAUGAAUAUGUUCAUCUAUUUGCUUUAAGAUGGGGCUGCGACCGAUCAUGGUUGUUGGUGGGGUAAUGGCCCACCAAGCCUAUAACCGGUACGGGCUUUGAGAGAAGGAGCCCGGAGAUGGACACUGAGAAAAGGGUCUAGGUCCUACGGGGCGCAGCAGGCGCGAAAACUUCGCAAUGUGCGCAAGCACGACGAGGUUACUCUGAGUGUCACCCGUUGAGGGUGACUUUUACUAGGCGUAAAUAAUCUAGAGAAUAAGGGGAGGGCAAGCCUGGUGUCAGCCGCCGCGGUAAUACCAGCUCCCCGAGUGGUUAGGAUGUUUAUUGGGCCUAAAGCAUCCGUAGCCGGUCUUGUAGGUCUUCUGUUAAAUCCACCAGCUCAACUGUUGGGCCGCAGAAGAUACCGCAGGACUAAGAGGCGGGGGAGGUGGACGGUACUUUAUGGGUAGGGGUAAAAUCUUUUGAUCCAUAGAAGACCACCAGUGGCGAAAGGCGGUCCACCAGAACGCGCUCGACGGUGAGGGAUGAAAGCUGGGGGAGCGAAACCGGAUUAGAUACCCGGGUAGUCCCAGCUGUAAACGAUGCGAGCUAGGUGAUGGGGUGGCUGCGAGCCAUCCCAGUGCCCCAGGGAAAGCCGUUAAGCUCGCCCCUGGGGAAGUACGACCGCAAGUUGAAACUUAAGGAAUUGGGCGGGGGAGCACCACAAGGGGUGAAGCUGCGUUCAUUUGGACUCAUCGCCG